GAGUUUCAAACCUAUUUGUGACUGCUUUUAUAGCACGUGAUUGGGUAACUUCCCUCACUUUUUUCUUCAAGUUAAUUUUGGGAUUUUUCCUUUCAAAGAAUUUCUGCAUGAUUAUUUUAUCAUGAGCAGAUUCAAUAGCAUCAACACUUGGCUUGUGCGCUGCGUAUUUUUUUAUCAAGAAGUUCCUAGCAGCUUGAAUUUCAUCCUGAGAAGCUUCACUGCUUAUUCCAAGCCGUCUGUAUGGAUCCUUUACAUGAAUCCUGGGAAAGAUAGCUGUUGAAUCUUCAGACAUAUCACCAAAUGAUGCAGAUGCUGCACUUUUAACAUUGACAGUUCUUCCACAAGGAAAA
rnacentral:misc_RNA from 1 species